GGAAAAGCGAGCCCAAGAGCUUUCUGCGGUCGGUGGGGGCCUAUAAAUAGCCGGUGAAGUCUUCUAAUACCGAUCGGCAAGGUCCCUGCUGACAACAGGAUAAUACCAGCUGGGAUCUACCUUUCUGAUCUGAAAUCAUGAGGAUUACUCACAUGUCUAAAAAUAAGCCAUGCUGAAAUUCCCUUGUUGGAUUAAGAUCUCAACCCUGCAAUUGUCACUUUUCCCACCAGUGUCAGUGGCUUAACUAAAUAUACUGUCCACAUCUCUGCCUGACAUUCCCAGAUUGUUUCUCUUUCCUCUUUCAAUGGAACUCCUCUAUGUUUCUGUGGCAUGCAGCCUUUUGGAUCAC